rnacentral:rRNA from 1 species
CCGGCACGGGUGAGUAACACGUAUCCAACCUGCCGUCUACUCUUGGACAGCCUUCUGAAAGGAAGGAUUAAUACAAGAUGGCAUCAUGAGUCCGCAUGUUCACAUGAUUAAAGGUAUUCCGGUAGACGAUGGGGAUGCGUUCCAUUAGAUAGUAGGCGGGGUAACGGCCCACCUAGUCUUCGAUGGAUAGGGGUUCUGAGAGGAAGGUCCCCCACAUUGGAACUGAGACACGGUCCAA